CCCUAAAUGAACUCUGCAGACGGCUGUUCCCAGUGAACCCCUCAAAUUCUGCACCAGCUACUAGACAACAAGCACAAAGAGAGGCAACGCAGGGAGGAGGUGCGAGGAGAGCUGCCCACUGCUUGGGGGUACAUGGUCAAGGUCAGCCCCGGCUGGCAACCCCCCAGGUCCCCACUGUGUACAGUAGGCAAAGCACGGAGUGGAGAACCCCCAGGUCUUAAACAAUUGCUCAGAAAGGGAAGAAGAAUAUUUACAUUUCCACUGAGUCACAGGAGGAAGAGUGCGAAAGGACCAGCGGGUAAAGCUGUUGUGCCGUGGCACCAACCUGCACCAAAGUCAUCGCAUUCGUCACUGUUUCAUGGUCAAAAUAAAAAAGGCCAGUUUCACGUAGGAUUGAUCUUGAA